GAUGAACGCUGGCGGCGUGCCUAAUACAUGCCAGUCGAGCGAACGGACGAGAAGCUUGCUUCUCUGAUGUUAGCGGCGGACGGGUGAGUAACACGUGGAUAACCUACCUAUAAGACUGGGAUAACUUCGGGAAACCGGAGCUAAUACCGGAUGAUAUUUUGAACCGCAUGGUUCAAAAGUGAAAGACGGUCUUGCUGUCACUUAUAGAUGGAUCCGCGCUGCAUUGGCUAGUUGGUAAGGUAACGGCUUACCAAGGCAACGAUGCAUAGCCGACCUGAGAGGGGGAUCGGCCACACUAGAACUGAGACACGGUCCAGACUCCUACGGGAGGCAGCAGUAGGGAAUCUUCCGCAAUGGGCGAAAGCCUGACGGAGCAACGCCGCGUGAGUGAGGAAGGUCUUCGGAUCGUAAAACUCUGUUAUUAGGGAAGAACAUAUGUGUAAGUAACUGUGCACAUCUGGACGGUACCUAAGCAGAAAGCCACGGCUAACUACGG
rnacentral:rRNA from 1 species